AGCGCGGGAGCUUGCUCCUGGCGGCGAGUGGCGCACGGGUGAGUAAUGCAUCGGAACGUGUCUUCUUGUGGGGGAUAACUGUCCGAAAGGACAGCUAAUACCGCAUAAGACCUGAGGGUGAAAGCAGGGGAUCGCAAGACCUUGCGCAGGAAGAGCGGCCGAUGUCCGAUUAGCUAGUUGGCGGGGUAAAGGCCCACCAAGGCGACGAUCGGUAGCUGGUCUGAGAGGACGACCAGCCACACUGGGACUGAGACACGGCCCAGACUCC
rnacentral:rRNA from 1 species